UCCAGGGGAGGGAAACUGGGCUCCACCUCUUGAAGGGAGGGGCACCAAAUAAUUUGCAAGUAUAUUUCAAAACUACUGCAGGUCACAUGGUGCAGAAAGAGAGAAGCAGAGCCAAAGAAUAUUAAAACCUAUAGAAUUUAUAAUAGCAAAAAUGAAGUACGUGAAUGUUGGAACACUUGGAGCUCCUUUCUCUCUAUGAUCUGCCCAGGAAAACUGAUGUGAAGAAAUGUGGAAGAGAGCCAGCCAGUGGAUGGGAGGGUGACGUAAAGAUUUUAAGUUGCUUGAUGGCAAGAACUUUGUUCUUGAAGAUUUUCAAAAGCCCCAUGGCAUAUGGAAGUACUUGACACACAGUGAGUACACAGUCAUAUGUGAUUUGGGUUUCUGAGGCUUCACUUGUUCAACUAAAUCAGAUGGGUGUUAGAUGAAGAUAUAUGUGGCAAACACUGCAUGCCUACUGUGUGCCAGGGUAGACCCCAGACGUGCAGAGGACAAGACAAAAGCUCUGUCCUCAGGCAUCCAUGAUGGUUCAACCCAACCAAUGAAGUCUUACCAUCUCACUUCCUCCUUACCUGGCAGAAUUGGAAGAUAUUCAGAUUCCUAGAAUUCUUUGUCAACCUAUCAGGAUUAUAAUUCCACAGAUCAGGCAGAGUGUAACCUGAAGCUCUUCAGUGAAUCUGUAGUGACUUUUGGGUGGUUUUUAAGUUUCCGAGUAGAAGAAGCAAAAGACCCUUAUAGUGGUCACCUUCCAUCUAAACAGAGAGUGAGCUGCAGAGAUACUGCUGUCCCUCACUGGCCCAUGGGUGUCCCUGCAAAUCUGUGACUCAAGUGGACAUAUUCAUAUUAAGCAGACCAGAGAUGAAAGCCAUAUUAGGCAUGAACCACUUUUUAUUCAUAGGCUUACCGAAUACAUUGCAUUAAGAGGCAUAUCGUUUGCACACUCUAUUUACCAAAAAGAG